rnacentral:rRNA from 1 species
CCUACGGGUGGCUGCAGUGGGGAAUAUUGGGCAAUGGGCGCAAGCCUGACCCAGCAACGCCGCGUGAAGGAAGAAGGCCUUCGGGUCGUAAACUUCUUUUGUCAGGGACGAAGCAAGUGACGGUACCUGACGAAUAAGCCACGGCUAACUACGUGCCAGCAGCCGGGGUAAUACGUAGGUGGCAAGCGUUAUCCGGAUUUACUGGGGGUAAAGGGCGUGGAGGCGGGACUGCAAGUCAGAUGUGAAAACCACGGGCGAAACCUGUGGCCUGCAUUUGAAACUGUAGUUCUUGAGUACUGGAGAGGCAGACGGAAUUCCUAGUGUAGCGGUGAAAUGCGUAGAUAUUAGGAGGAACACCAGUGGCGAAGGCGGUCUGCUGGACAGCAACUGACGCUGAGGCGCGAAAGCGUGGGGAGCAAACAGGAUUAGAUACCCCGGUAGUC